rnacentral:rRNA from 1 species
GGCGUAAAGAGAAUUAAGGCGGUCAUGUAAGUCAGUGGUGAAAUCCCCCGGCUCAACUGGGGAAGUGACUUUGAUACUGCGUGACUUGAGGACAGGAGAGGAAGGCGGAAUUCCCGGUGUAGCGGUGGAAUGCGUAGAUAUCGGGAGGAACACCUGAGGCGAAGGCGGCUUUCUGGACUGGUCCUGACGCUGAUAUUCGAAAGCUAGGGGAGCAAACAG